CGCGUAGGCGGUCUGAUAAGUCAAAUGUGAAAGCCCGGGGCUCAACCUCGGAAGUGCAUCUGAAACUAUCAGACUUGAGUAUGGGAGAGGGAAGUGGAAUUCCUGGUGUAGCGGUGAAAUGCGUAGAUAUCAGGAGGAACACCGGUGGCGAAGGCGACUUCCUGGACCAAUACUGACGCUGAGGCGCGAAGGCGUGGGGAGCAAACA
rnacentral:rRNA from 1 species